rnacentral:rRNA from 1 species
AUUGAACGCUAGCGGGAUGCCUUACACAUGCACGUCGAACGGAGUGGCGAACGGGUGAGUAAUGUAUCGGAACGUGCCCAGUAGCGGGGGAUAACUACGCGAAAGCGUAGCUAAUACCGCAUACUCUUGGAGCGGCCGAUAACGGAGUAGCUAGUUGGUGGGGUAACGGCUAACCAAGGCCACGAUCCGUAGCUGGUUUGAGAGGACGACCAUCCAAACUGGGACUGAGACACGGCCCAGACUCAUACGGGAGGCAGAAGUGGGUAAUUGUGGACAAGGGUGGAAACCCUGAUCCAGCCAUCCCGCGUGUGCGAUGAAGGCCUUCGGGUUGUAAAGCACUUUUGGCAGGAAAGCGGUACCUGCAGAAUAAGCACCGGCUAACUCCGUGCCAGCAGCCGCGGUAAUUC